rnacentral:rRNA from 1 species
AGUGAACGCUGGCGGUAGGCCUAACACAUGCAAGUCGAACGGCAGCACAGGAGAGCUUGCUCUCUGGGUGGCGAGUGGCGGACGGGUGAGGAAUACAUCGGAAUUUACUCUGUCGUGGGGGAUAACGUAGGGAAACUUACGCUAAUACCGCAUACGACCUACGGGUGAAAGCAGGGGACCUUCGGGCCUUGCGCGAUUGAAUGAGCCGGUGUCGGAUUAGCUAGUUGGCGGGGUAAAGGCCCACCAAGGCGACGAUCCGUAGCUGGUCUGAGAGGAUGAUCAGCCACACUGGAACUGAGACACGGUCCAGACUCCUACGGGAGGCAGCAGUGGGGAAUAUUGGACAAUGGGCGCAAGCCUGAUCCAGCCAUACCGCGUGGGUGAAGAAGGCCUUCGGGUUGUAAAGCCCUUUUGUUGGGAAAGAAAUCCAGCUGGCUAAUACCCGGUUGGGACGACGGUACCCAAAGAAUAAGCACCGGCUAACUUCGUGCCAGCCGCCGCGGUAA